AUAUUUUCCAUUGGCCCUUACAUUUGUGAUGUGCAACAGAGUCCUGAAUCAUCCGACUACAAUAUACACGUAUGUAUAUUCUAAUAUAUAUUUCGUUGCGGGGGGAGGCAGUCCAGGGGGAGACGAUGCCAAGGGAUUAUUGUACGGAAUACAUAGCACAUAGGCGAGCUGUGAGUGUCUAGGAAGUAAAAUGCUGGAUUCUCCUUGUUCCUCGAGGGCUGGACCAUUGGAGCCGCGUUGAAGGUUGCAAAUGCCAGAGCCAACGAAAGAGACGUGCACCAGUGUGCGGAUGUUUGUUAUUUAUGCGUGUGCACCUCAACUCGGGUGGGAAACGCUCGUCUUUCUACAUUAUACCACCAUUAUGUGUGUACAUUAUAUCGCAAAAUAUCGAUAAAGCAUGGAUUAUCAUUGGAAUUACUUCCCCCAGCUCAAUGAUAAUAAUAUAAAUAACGGAGUAGUA